CCAAAGUACCCGUUAGCGCCGUACUCGUCCACCGCCACCGCCACCGUUGUGGUUUUGCUGGACCUAUUUUCCCGAUCGACAAAAGACGAAUAAAAAUUGUGAAAGAAAAGGAGUUCAAUUAAUUUUGGAAGAUAAUUUCAUUUUCAAAUAAAUAAAAAAUUGAUUUUUUUUUUUUUUUUUUUU